rnacentral:rRNA from 1 species
AGCAGCCGCGGUAAUUCCAGCUCCAAUAGCGUAUAUUAAAGUUGUUGCAGUUAAAAAGCUCGUAGUUGAAUUUCGGGAUCAGAUUGUCGGUCGUGCCUCGGUACGUACUGGCAUUAUUGGUUCCUACCUUCUGAAGAACCGCGAUGUCAUUAAUUUGGUGUCGUGGGGAAUCAGGACUGUUACUUUGAAAAAAUUAGAGUGUUUAAAGCAGGCGCACGCUUGAAUACAUUAGCAUGGAAUAAUGAAAUAGGACGUUUGAUUCUAUUUUGUUGGUUUCUAGGAUCGACGUAAUGAUUAAUAGGGAUAGUUGGGGGCAUUAGUAUUCAAUUGUCAGAGGUGAAAUUCUUGGAUUUAUUGAAGACUAACUACUGCGAAAGCAUUUGCCAAGGAUGUUUUCAUUAAUCAAGAACGAAAGUUAGGGGAUCGAAGACGAUCAGAUACCGUCGUAGUCUUAACCAUAAACUAUGCCGACUAGGGAUCGGAUGAUGUUAAUUUUAUAAUGA